rnacentral:rRNA from 1 species
UACGAAGGGGGCUAGCGUUGCUCGGAAUCACUGGGCGGAAAGGGUGCGUAGGCGGGUCUUUAAGUCAGGGGGGAAAUCCUGGAGCUCAACUCCAGAACUGCCUUUGAUACUGAGGAUCUUGAGUACGGGAGAGGUGAGUGGAACUGCGAGUGUAGAGGUGAAAUUCGUAGAUAUUCGCAAGAACCCCAGUGGCGAAGGCGGCUCACUGGACCGUUACUGACGCUGAGGCACGAAAGCGUGGGGAGCAAACAGG